rnacentral:rRNA from 1 species
GACUACUGGGGUAUCUAAUCCUGUUCGAUACCCACGCUUUCGUGCUUCAGCGUCAGUUGGGCGCCGGUAUGCUGCCUUCGCAAUCGGAGUUCUGCGUGAUAUCUAUGCAUUUUACCGCUACACCACGCAUUCCGCAUACUUCUCGCCCACUCAAGAACGCCAGUUUCAACGGCGGAGCGAGGUUGAGCCCCGCGAUUUUACCGCUGACUUGGCAUUCCGCCUACGCACCCUUUAAACCCAAUAAAUCCGGAUAACGCUCGCAUCCUCCGUAUUACCGCGGCUGCUGGCACGGAGUUAGCCGAUGCUUUUUCGUCAGGUACUCUCAGUCCGGCUACACGUAGCCGGCGUUGCUCCCUGACAAAAGAGGUUUACAACCCAUAGGGCAGUCUUCCCUCACGCGACUUGGCUGGUUCAGGCGUAAGCCCAUUGACCAAUAUUCCUCACUGCUGCCUCCCGUAGG